rfam:Rattus norvegicus strain BN/SsNHsdMCW Contig42261, whole genome shotgun sequence.
CUUUCCUGUAUAUUUCAUAAUCUUCUUUCAAAGCCACACAUUUCUUUCAGACAUCGCCAAGAAUACAAUUC